UACAGAGGGGGCAAGCGUUGUUCGGAAUUACUGGGCGUAAAGGGCGCGUAGGCGGUUUGUCGCGUCGGGAGUGAAAACUCAGGGCUUAACUCUGAGCUUGCUUUCGAUACGGGCAGACUUGAGGCAUGCAGGGGAGAACGGAAUUCCUGGUGUAGCGGUGAAAUGCGCAGAUAUCAGGAGGAACACCGGUGGCGAAGGCGGUUCUCUGGGCCUUACCUGACGCUGAGGAGCGAAAGCAUGGGGAGCAAACAGG
rnacentral:rRNA from 1 species